rnacentral:rRNA from 1 species
AUUGAACGCUGGCGGCAUGCCUUACACAUGCAAGUCGAACGGCAGCACGGGAGCAAUCCUGGUGGCGAGUGGCGAACGGGUGAGUAAUGUAUCGGAACGUGCCCAGUCGUGGGGGAUAACGUAGCGAAAGCUACGCUAAUACCGCAUACGAUCUAUGGAUGAAAGCGGGGGACGGUAAGGCCUCGCGCGAUUGGAGCGGCCGAUAUCUGAUUAGGUAGUGGGUGGGGUAAAGGCCUACCAAGCCGACGAUCUGUAGCUGGUCUGAGAGGACGACCAGCCACACUGGGACUGAGACACGGCCCAGACUCCUACGGGAGGCAGCAGUGGGGAAUUUUGGACAAUGGGCGCAAGCCUGAUCCAGCAAUGCCGCGUGCAGGAUGAAGGCCUUCGGGUUGUAAACUGCUUUUGUACGGAGCGAAAAGGCUCUCUCUAAUACAGGGGGCUCAUGACGGUACCGUAAGAAUAAGCACCGGCUAACUACGUGCCAGCAGCCGCCGUAACAC